rnacentral:rRNA from 1 species
GAUGAACGCUGGCGGCGUGCCUAAUACAUGCAAGUCGAGCGAACAGACGCGGCGCUUGCUCCUCUCACGUUAGCGGCGGACGGGUGAGUAACACGUGGAUCCCCUCCCUAUCAGACUGGGAUAACUUCGGGACACCGGAGCUAAUACCGUAUAAUAUAUUGAACCGCAUGGUUCAAUAGUGAAAGACGGUUUUGCUGUCUCUUCUAGAUGGUUCCGCGCUGCUUUAGCUAGUUGGGAAGGUCACGGUUUACCAAGGCAACGAUGCGUAGCCGACCUGAGAGGGGGGUCGGCCACACGGGAACGGAGACACGGUCCAGACUCCUACGGGAGGCAGCAGUAGGGAAUCUUCCGCAAUGGGCGAAAGCCUGACGGAGCAACGCCGCGUGAGUGAUGAAGGUCUUCGGAUCGUAAAACUCGGUUAUUAGGGAAGAACAAAUGUGUAAGUAACUAUGCACGUCUUGACGGUACCUAAUCAGAAAGCCACGGCUAACUACGUG